rnacentral:rRNA from 1 species
CCUACGGGUGGCAGCAGUGAGGAAUAUUGGUCAAUGGGCGCGAGCCUGAACCAGCCAAGUAGCGUGAAGGAUGACUGCCCUACGGGUGGUAAACUUCUUUUAUAAAGGAAUAAAGUGAGGCACGUGUGCCUUUUUGUAUGUACUUUAUGAAUAAGGAACGGCUAACUCCGUGCCCGCAGCCGCGGUAAUACGGAGGAGCCGAGCGUUAUCCGGAUUUAGUGGGUUUAAAGGGAGCGUAGAUGGGUUGUUAAGUCAGUUGGGAAAGUUUGCGGGUCAACCGUAAAAUUGCAAUUGAUACUGGCAGUCUUGAGUACGGUUGAGGUAGGCGGAAUUCGUGGUGUAGCGGUGAAAUGCUUAGAUAUCACGAAGAACUCCGAUUGCGAAGGCAGCUUACUAAACUGCCACUGACAUUGAUGCUCGAAAGCGUGGGGAGCAAACAGGAUUAGAUACCCUUGUAGUC